CACGUUUAGAUGGCAUUUACGUCGAUCUAAACGUUUAGGAAUCUAAUCUAAACGUGUUCUGAAUAUUUAAUUUGCGUUGAAAAGCUAAAUCAAACAAUUUCCGUACGGAACUAACUAAAUUAAAUUAGUUUCUUACAAAAUGUGUCGGACAUUUUGAAUCUUUCAUUAUGAUUAAAAAUUAGAGUUUCUUAUUAAUCUUAAAUUAUGUAAUAAAGGUUUAGAAAAAAAAAAAGAAAUUUGUUUUUAGUAUUAUAUUGUGGCUAAUGAAGGAGUUAAAAAGUCCUUCCAGUCAGUUGCAACAACAAUUAAAGCAGCAGGAAACAGCCAAGUACACAUGCAAGUGAUUGUUAUGAGGAUUGCAAAACUUUUAAAUAUCAGAAACUGAAGAAAGCAUUCAUAAUCAGCAGAUAUCAAAAAAGCGCAAAAGUACUGAUUUUACAACUCUUUUAAAGUUGAGGAAGAAUUUUAUGUUAAUGUUAAUGCAAAAGGUACGAAUAUUGACAGAUUAUGGAUGUGGUACUGCAAGUAUAUUCAAUUGAUUAUGCAAGUAAGUUGUCCUACUUUACAUCUUUGAAGACUAAUAAUAAUUGUAAUGAACAUAUCUCAGACAAUAUACACUCGGAUUUAUAUUUUAGUUAAACCAUCACCACUUCCACAGCCACCUUGUCUCAAGCAUUAAAUCGCAUUCUAAGAUAUCUUUAUUCAAAUUAAGUGUGACUACUUUACCAAAAGACUCUAGAAUGGACCAAUCAAAAAAAGAGAUUGUAUGACU
rnacentral:lncRNA from 1 species